rnacentral:snRNA from 1 species
CAGGCAUGAGAGCCCUCUAGC